rnacentral:rRNA from 1 species
AAAUUGAAGAGUUUGAUCAUGGCUCAGAUUGAACGCUGGCGGCAGGCUUAACACAUGCAAGUCGAACGGUAACAGGAAACAGCUUGCUGUUUCGCUGACGAGUGGCGGACGGGUGAGUAAUGUCUGGGAAACUGCCCGAUGGAGGGGGAUAACUACUGGAAACGGUAGCUAAUACCGCAUAACGUCGCAAGACCAAAGAGGGGGACCUUCGGGCCUCUUGCUAUCGGAUGUGCCCAGAUGGGAUUAGCUAGUAGGUGGGGUAACGGCUCACCUAGGCGACGAUCCCUAGCUGGUCUGAGAGGAUGACCAGCCACACUGGAACUGAGACACGGUCCAGACUCCUACGGGAGGCAGCAGUGGGGAAUAUUGCACAAUGGGCGCAAGCCUGAUGCAGCCAUGCCGCGUGUAUGAAGAAGGCCUUCGGGUUGUAAAGUACUUUCAGCGGGGAGGAAGGGAGUAAAGUUAAUACCUUUACUCAUUGACGUUACCC